UACGUAGGGGGCUAGCGUUGUCCGGAAUCAUUGGGCGUAAAGCGCGCGUAGGCGGCCAGAUAAGUCCGGUGUGAAAGUCACAGGCUCAACCUGUGAAUGCCGCUGGAAACUGUCUGGCUUGAGUCCGGAAGGGGCGAGUGGAAUUCCUGGUGUAGCGGUGAAAUGCGCAGAUAUCAGGAGGAACAUCAAUGGCGAAGGCAGCUCGCUGGAACGGUACUGACGCUAAGGCGCGAAAGCGUGGGGAGCGAACAGG
rnacentral:rRNA from 1 species